rnacentral:rRNA from 1 species
UAGUUUGAUCCGUGGCUCGAGGACGAACGCUGGCGGCGUGCUUAACACAUGCAAGUCGAACGAGGAUCAGGGAGAGCUUGCUCGAACUGAUUCGAGUGGCGGACGGGUGAGUAACGCGUGAGCAACCUGUCUCACACAGGGGGAUAACGCAUCGAAAGAUGUGCUAAUACCGCGUAGGACCACGAAGUCGCAUGGCUUUGAGGUGAAAGGAGCAAUCCGGUGUGAGGUGGGCUCGCGUCUGAUUAGAUAGUUGGUGGGGUAACGGCUCACCAAGUCAACGAUCAGUAGCCGACCUGAGAGGGUGAUCCGCCACAUUGGGACUGAGACACGGCCCAGACUCCUACGGGAGGCAGCAGUGGGGAAUAUUGGGCAAUGGGCGGAAGCCUGACCCAGCAACGCCGCGUGAAGGAAGAAGGUUUUCGGAUCGUAAACUUCUGUCCUAUAUGAAGAUAAUGACGGUAGUAUAGGAGGAAGCCCCGGCUAACUACGUGCC